UGUAACCGUAGCUAUCUUUAGAUCAUUGUCUAAACUUAGUACUUGAAAUCAAGUUACCAUGUCUAAUCAGUUCUUUCCAGAAGUGCUGUACUAAAGCUGUGCCAGGGGUUCAUUAAGAAACCCACCUGACUUCAGCUGUGCCUCUUAAGGGCACCUCAAACCCCCACAUGGCCUCUGCCCACCUCCCUGAAGACAGAGGGUCUGGGAUAGGGCUGACUGGGGCCUUGCUGCUGCCUUGGUCUCACUGGAUAUCCAACAAGGCCGGUGCUCAGCACUGAAGUGAUCGUUCUUCACCCAUCAGAGGGCCCAUAAAUGCACAGGACUGCAAAGAGCACUACUGGAGGAGGUUAAUCCCCUUCACAGCCUGCAGAACUUCACACGGUGCGUAGCAAGGUGGCACUGCGGCCUGGCUGGCCACAGGUGUUUAUGCCAGCCUACUGACCAGCAUACUUGGUUGGAUGAGGCCCUGGGCAACCAGAUCUAGUGACUGAUUUAGUGGUUGGCAACCCUGUCCGUGGCAGGGGCUUGGAACUAGAUGACCUUUAAGUUCCCGGGCAACCCAAGCCAUUCUAUGAUUGUGUAAUUCUCACAGAAUCAAAGGGCGGUUAGGCUAGCACGGACCUCUGGUCUGUCUGGCCCAACCUCACCCAAGCAGGGACACCCAGAGCAGGGUGCCCAGGCCCAUGUCCAGCUCUGGGCUACCUGUGCCUGUGCUCCGUCACCCACAUGUUGAAGAAGUGCUUCCAGAUGGUCAGGGGGAACCUCCUGUGUUCCAGUUUGUGCCCAGUGCGUCUUGUCCAGGCACUGACCACCACUGAAAAGAGCCUGGCUCUGUCCUCAUAGCAGUUAUUGACGGAUAUUGUGAAGAUUCCCCCCAGACCUCCUCUUCUCCAGCUGGGACUGUUCACAGCCUCUCCUUACAGGCAAGGGAAGUUUGGCCCCUUGGUACAGCAGUGCAGAGCAAUUCCUGAGCGUGCCAGGAUGACUCCUGUAUGCAUUGUGUUUACCCAUUGAAGGCUUUUUUGUUGCAGAGCUGAUGUUCUGCAGUACAUGCAUACGCACGCACUCUUCUUUCCCAUCUGGCUCUCUGAUGGAGCAAUUUCUUUGUGAAUGCUGGUCGCAAAGGAGCAGAAAGUAGCACAGUGUUCUGUCAUACCAGCUUUAUAGAGGCAAUUAUGUGAUCCCCUGUUAGUGCCUAAUGCCUGUGUCAUUACCGUUGUAAGCUUUGUUUUGGCAUCCUUUUCCAAGGAACAUUAAUUAGGAGUGACAAACUUGCACACCAGACAAAGGUGACAUGGCGGUCACGUGCCUGAUGGUCAGCAAUGUGAUUCCAGGCCACUGCUUCUGGAGACUUCCACUGCCCCAGCUACAGGACAGAGGAAGAACAAAAGCCUGUGGAAGAAGGAAGGAGCCAAGGAAAGAUGAGAGUGGAGGAUGAAGACACCACUACACAAGACUUUGGUGACCUGCUCCAGGUCUCCUUUUUAUGAUCCCAGCAGAGACCCAGGACCAUGAAAGAGUUGAAUCAAUGACCUCUGCACUGGACUCAGAUUUCUCUGCAUCUAAACACACAACGCUUGAAACACCUUAGCCUCUCAUCCAUCAGUUAGGGGAAAUACCUCUGCCUACUCCAUAAACAGAUGUACCAAAAGGUUGUGAAACACUGGGGUUGCAUGGUGUGUGAUGGGUCACAGAAACAAAACCUAAAUCUUAGUGGAAGUAGGGACAGUAGAGUGAGGAAGGACUAGAAAUAUGAGCAGAGGAGGGAGAAUGGAAGGCCAUAGCUAGUUUUAAAAAGACAAAAAGAAAUAAAAGCCUGGGAAGAGCAAAAACCUCAGGGAGAAAGUAAUAAGUUUCCAUGUAAAAGUGCAUGUGCAGAAUAUCAUAAUGAAAAAUACAGCACCAUUGUCAGGGGACUUCGCUGCUUGGGAAACAGAAGCUGAGCAAUCUGGCAGGGAGGAAAUAGCCCUGGUGUUCAUUAGUCAAAUGCAAAGAUGUACCACAUAACCAGACUUCUGCAUGACUUACAUACCUAAAUACAGAACUAGGAAUAUAUGCUGAUUUCACACCCUAUGACUGUGGACCACCUUUACUGUGCCCUUGCUGGCACACUCAUCACCCCUGGCUAGGAAUCCCAUUUGAGCACACUGCAUCUUACAGCCUCCUCUUGUUCGCAGCAGCUCUCCCUUACAAAGGAGUGCCACAGCCCAACUCCCGCUUGCAUAGCUGGCACUGACAUUUUCCCUUUAAUUGGACUUCGCUAUAAGCAAAUUCUGCUAUUAUAGGUAUUGAUGUACCUGCGUGUAUCUAUCUCCCAGGGUUCCCGGUUAUGUUUAUUUCUUCUUGAAUUUUAUUUUGUUCUUCUUUAUUGUGCUAUUGCAGUUGCUGGUUUGAUUGGCUGUGUAUUGUAUUACAUGUGUGCACUGACUUUUGAAAAAAUCAAUAACAAUUAACUCAAAUAGGAAGAUGUAAGCAUGCUCUAUCUGUAGCAGCCAGCCCAAACAAAGCUGCCAGCCCCACCAGCAACCCAUGGGGUAGCAGCUUGGAUCUGCGGGCUAUGUAACUUUCACAUGCUUCCAAAGAUAUCUGAUAGGGAAAGGAUAUCGAAUUUCCAAAGAUAUUCAGUGGGGAGUGAUUCCAGCUAGCUGUGAUUCCUCUUCUCAUCUUGGAAAAUGCAGACAUUGACUGCUUUUUGAAUUUGCCACUGAAUUUAGCACCCAAGCAAGGGAGGAACAGGCUGAGCAGCAUGGAGGCAGGGAAGGUGUUGUGCUCGUUCCUACUCUGAGACCCUGCUGAAGUGCCAGGCUUGACUAAAUCUCACCAUGCCUCUCAUCCCUGUUGACACCUCUUCAGUAGAAGUGUACAUGUGAAGUUUUAGUUCUGAGUGCACUUAGCAUUUAGAUUGAAAUGAGAGAAAGUGACUUACCCUUGCCUUCUGUUGUCACACAGUAAGAUUGCACUGACCCUGACCAUAUCUCUGGUUUGCCUGGAGCGCACUGAAGUCGUGGGAUAUUGGGCAGCACAGCAAACACACAAUAAUCAGCACUGCAGUUAUAAUGAAAUACCUCAGUGAAGGAAAAGUGGAUUUCUUUACCAAUAACUGGAUUCUGCGAAGCAGGCUCUCAAGUCAAGCUUGGCAUCUUUUCCUUGUGGCUUUGAGAUAAGAUCACCGCAGAUGGAAACAAGUCCUCUUGGUCACGGGCUGCUGUCCAUGCAGAGCCCAGAUGGACUUUUCACUCCGGAUGCAAAACUUAAUGCAGAUCUUCUCCUGGUAUAAAUGCAAAAUAAGCCGAUGUAUGGAAAUCUGUUUUGCAGAAACCCAAUUUACAGAUAAGAAAUUCAUUUCCUGUAGUCAGGAGCUAUUCAAAAGGAAGUGGGGGUGAAAGCAAUUGAAAGAAUUUAAAUAAUUUCAAAUAAUUGCAUUUAGAUAUUUUCUUCCUCUCCAGAUAUCUUACUAUCUAAUCUCUUACAUUUCUAAGAAGUAGUGAUCAGGCAUUUAGUUUGCCCAUAGCUGAUAUUCUGUGGAAAGAUUUCAACUAAAAGACAAUAUAGUAAACCGUCUGGAAUAAAGUCUUCAGAAAUGUGAUUAGGAUUUAGUGGUCAUAAAGCACAUCUUGUUUUCGGAGGAAAAAAUUUAAGUGAUGAAAAUGCACAUUUCAUGUCAGAAUUAACCAGCUGACAACUGGACUUUAAAGGCAAAAAUCAUUCCACCGCAAUCUUCAGCCAAAGUCUUCUGCCUGAAUAUUAACAUUGCACUCUGAUAAGAGAAACACAAAAGCCUGAAAGUACUGAGGAGCUCCACCAUGGAAGAAAAGCGAGAGCAAACCUUGCAUUUUGGUGGGCUCACUCCUGGUUUCUGACUUCGUUGUGCAGGAGGGGUGUAAUAGCCUGAGUACAUGGGGGCUUCUCCAAAGGAAAAAGCAAACACAGCAUUUGGAGCUGCUUUGUAGCAGCAAAUGGAGCAGUGAAUGGCAGGAUCACUCUUGGUGCUAUUUGAUUCUUAGGGAAAAAGAAAAAUGUGCACACUUUGUCUUUUGAAAGAGCAAUUUUCUUUCCAGCCUUUUGGAGAUAGGAAUGGAAGCUCUUAAGGUCAGAGAAUGAGAGGGACAUUAAAUGUAAAGACUGAUGAAGGAAAGACAGCUUUCAGGAGGAUGGUUUUGACAACACAGGAUGUGUAAUGUGCUUUUAAAUGUAAAGGUGGCUAAUGAGAAUUUCUUGCUUCUGACUUCAUGAUAGGAGUAAAUGGGGGAGUAAAUGGGAGUGAUACUGUGAAAAAAAAUGGGGAAGUCGUACUUGCAGUCAGAGCAAUGUACAGCCUGUUCCCCAUCUUUCGAAGGAAAGAAGGAAUUUGUUGCUGAAAGACUGAUCAGAAAGUGUACUUGGUAUAUGACUCAAUUUCAUUUUCUAUGAGAAAUCUUGUCUUUUCAACCAAGCAAAAAGAAAGAAAUAGUUUGUGGUUUAGGAAUGCUCAGCUUUUAAUGAAAUAUUUAACAUUUUCUUGGCAAAGGAAAGAAUGAAAGAAAUCCCUAUCCAGAAGACUGUCUUUUGCCCUAAGAACAAGAACUCUUCUCUCCCCCAUACCAAGUUUCUAGACAGAAGUGAGAUAAAAAGCCACCUCUGAUGCAUUGGGCAUGCAGGGAUAGGAAGCUGCCGUGGGCUCACAGAAGUUAAUUCUCCAGUCACAGAGCCUCUUAGCCCAUUUGAUUACUAAUGUGGGAAGCGAAGGCUGCGAAAGAAAAGAGCUCAAGGAUACUUAGUUCAGGCGUUGGCUGCCAUGGAGGUUAUUAUUUAGCCUAUUGCGGGAUGAUUUCAGUUGAUCACCUGCCCACAAAUGUGAGGGAACGUAAAUCUGGAAUUUGUGAAUUCAUCUGUUGUGUUUUGACAGGAGAGAGGCUUUUGGCAGCCAGCUAGUGGAAAUAAAGUCUCUCUCCAGGGCGCAGAGCCAUGUUGCAACUGCUAGAGCGUAUUUAUGCCCUCUCAUCCAUGCGUUUCUGAGAGGCAGCAGUUCAACCAGCUGCAGGGCUCUACAUUGGAAGCAUUGUUUUCACAAGAGGGAAAAGUCCUUCAGCCUGAGAGAUGGAGUCAUCACAUAAUUGUUUUAGAAAAGUUUGCUAUCUGCUUUUGUACUAGGCUCUUUUCAGGUAGUUUGGGAGGAUGCAAACACAAAACCUCAGUAAUUGACUUUAGAUCAGGUCUAAUCCUUGAUGUCAUCAGUUUUGUUUCAUGCGUGGGAAGAUUUCAUCCUUUAGGGGAAAAAAACCCCCACCAAUGUAUAAAACAAAGUACUUUUCAGUUUAAUUAAAUCUAUGAUUACAGAGCUACAUCCUUGGUACUGCAGAGCAGUAUCAUUGAUGAGCAAACAUCAAAGCUUACCAAGCUGAGGACAAUUCAAUAAGUACCCCAAGCCCGGCUGCUAAUCUGAACCACUUCAUAUCUAGUUUUAGCCACUUGAGACUGAAAAUGAAUCUCAGAAUUUCAUGAGAACAGGAGAUCCCAUGAGAGUUUCAAUACUUUUUGCUUCCAGGAAGAAUGUGAAUCCCAAAGGAAGCAGGCCUGCAUAUUUCAGUAUCUGUUUCCCUUGAAAAAAUAAUACUUCUUCUAUUUUUUAUUUUUUUAAUAUGAGACACUUUGUCUCUAUUUAAGUUGAAGUUUUAAAUAAAGAUCUGUAGGGUGUGGA